GUUAGCAACAUCGUGAUCGUAGUCCUGUUCGUUAACACCAACAACAUAAGUUGGGAUAUCAGCUCCUUUUGCCGGUGCAGUGAUAACAACCUUCUUGGCUCCUGCUUGGAUGUGCUUCCCAGCACCCGGACCAUCCACGAAAACACCCGUUCCCUGCAUCCACAUGAUUUAAUCAGUGUAGAUUGCUAAAUGUCAAUGACAUGUUUGGUAAGUCAAAUCAGCGAAUUCAGAAUACUGGACAGUACUUAAUUAGGGGAAAAAAAUCUAAUAGAUUCUGAGCAUCAAUCAAGUGAACUGUAAGUAGUUGUCCAAGAAUGGGAUCAAAUUUAAGGUCGUUCUGACUCGUGGCGUUGUUUUCCUUUCAUCAUCAAACAUCUGUCUGUUCCUAAUUAGUCACUGAAAUUUCAUUUUUGUUUCAAUUUAAGCACCAUGUCUGCCUAAUUAACGAAAAUGCUAACAUAGGAUUAUUAGACCAACACGCACGCAGUUGGCCCUAUUGGGAAGGUUGAUCUGUGGACGAGGGAAUAAGUUUAGAAAACGAUUAGACUCCAUAUAGUCUAAUAGAGGAUUGGAUGAGAAAUCUACCUCAAUUACAAUGUCAAUGCCGAGCUCAGCCCAAGGAAGUUUAAGAGGAUCCCUGUUAGACACAACCUUUAUGGGCUUCCCGUCAACGCUGAUGGUUUCAUUGUCAACUAUUUUAACAACUGCCUUGAAU
rnacentral:lncRNA from 1 species